CUUACAAACCUCAUCAAGUCAAAUUAAACAAUUAAUGAUGAUCAGCAAAAUGUUAAUGGUUCCACAGUUCUCCUCUGCUCCCACAAUCAAGUCUAUACAACCCAGGUUCUUUUAAUUAACAAAGUCUAUACAACCCAGGUUCUUUUAAUUAACAAAGUCUAUACAACCCAGGUUCUUUUAAUUAACAAAGUCUAUACAACCCAGGUUCUUUUAAUUAACAAAGUCUAUACAACCCAGGUUCUUUUAAUUAACAAAGUCUAUACAACCCAGGUUCUUUUAAUUAACAAAGUCUAUACAACCCAGGUUCUUUUAAUUAACAAAGUAAGCCUAAAACCUGUUUGUUUCUCAAUAAUGAUGACCAUGGUGGUUUAUUUCCGAACAAGUUUCAUUUCCUCUUGUAAAAUAACUAGCUACAGAUUUAACUCAAAUCAUGACACGAAUGGGAACUAAGCAGCAUCGCACAGAGCACAGUGUAUAUUAUAAAACCAGAACAUAUUUUUGGCAAGAGUUAAUUAGUCCAGUAUUACUUAUGCAGGCCUUUGAACAUCCCGUAAGUGCCUUCCGGGUUUUUAUUUAUCGAUCUUUGAUGGAGGACACCAAAACAGGUUUUAGUUGGAAGAAUACUUUUUCAAAAGCUCCCUGACAGCAUAUUAAGCCUUUAUUUGACUUGGGAAUUGGACAAUGAACAACAUUUGGCACAACCCAGAGUGAGGCUCAGUGUGAGGACAAUCCAGGCGUCGGCCCCUCUGAGGUUGAGAAUUGUGAUGAUUGGCAUCCUCACCAACCUCUAAUGAUCUCACAACAAUGUGAAGAAAACCCAUUUGCUUUCAAUACAGAGGUGUAUUAUGAAAAUCGAUACUUUCCUCAGAGGAGGUGUACUCCAUUUAACAUCCCAGCCAUAAUUCAGAACAACCAUAUGGAGUCAACCAUGCUUGAAAACAGCAGCUGGGGUGGCCGCUGUGAAUAUACCUCAUCUAGGCUUCUUCCCAAUAGGACCAUCUCCAGACUCAGCCUGGAGCCUCCAGCGAUGCUCCUCAGCCUGGAGCCUCCAGUGCUCCCCCACAGCCCGGUCUAUCCUGUGCCUGCUCCCAGAGCCAGGCCUCCUGCAUGUCUCCCCAGCCUGGUGAGUCCUGUGCCUGCUCCCAGAGCCAGGCCUCCUGCAUGUCUCCCCAGCCUGGUGAAUCCUGUGCCUGCGCCCAGAGCCAGGCCUCCUG